rnacentral:rRNA from 1 species
GACGAACGCUGGCGGCGUGCUUAACACAUGCAAGUCGAACGGAAAGGCCCUGCUUUUGUGGGGUGCUCGAGUGGCGAACGUGUGAGUAACACGUGAGUAACCUGCCCUGGACUUUGGGAUAACUUCGGGAAACUGGGGCUAAUACCGGAUAGGAGCUCCUGCUGCAUGGUGUGGGUUGGAAAGUUUCGGCGGUUGGGGAUGGACUCGCGGCUUAUCAGCUUGUUGGUGGGGUAGUGGCUUACCAAGGCUUUGACGGGUAGCCGGCCUGAGAGGGUGACCGGCCACAUUGGGACUGAGAUACGGCCCAGACUCCUACGGGAGGCAGCAGUGGGGAAUAUUGCACAAUGGGCGGAAGCCUGAUGCAGCAACGCCGCGUGCGGGAUGACGGCCUUCGGGUUGUAAACCGCUUUCGCCUGUGACGAAGCGUGAGUGACGGUAAUGGGUAAAGAAGCACCGGCUAACUACGUG